AACGAAGUAACACUGGGCUUGCCUUGAACAUGUGAAACCUUUAAGCUAACUCCCAGUGACCCACUUCAUAAAAGCACAACAAUCCAACCAGGCCACACUUCCUAAGAGUGCCACUCUGUGGUGGGCAACCAUUCAAAUCUAUGAGUUUGUAGGAGCCAUUAAAAAAUCAGAUUUACUAAUUUUAUCUAUGAGUAAACCAUUGCUGUCUUCAGAAGAGGAAGUUAGAUUCCAUUACAGAUGGCUGUGAGCCACCAUGUGGUUGCUGGGAAUUGAACUCAGGUCCUCUGGAAGAGCAGUCAGUGCUCUUAACCACUGAGCCAUCUCUACAGCCCAUAGGAGUCAUUCUUAUUCAAACUACUACACAAUGCAAUUCAUCUGUAAAGAAUGAGGUAUGUAGCAAGCAGUGGUUGCUCAUAACUUUAAUCUCAGCAAUUGGGAGGCAGAGGCAGGGGUAUUUCUGAGUUCAAGGCCAUGCUGGUCUACAGAGUGAGUUCCAGGACAGCCAGGACUAUACAGAGAAACCCUGCCUUGAGAAAAUGAGGUGUGUGCGCAAUGACACAAAUAUAAAAUUUAGUGAUAAAAGCAAAGAUUUUUAUGGUCUUGAAAAUAUUGUGCUUCAUUUAAUUUUAAAGACAUUCCCAAGGGCUGAAGAUAAAACUAUAGAAAAACACAACUUAUUAUGUAACAAGUUUCAGGGUUCAAUUUCCAACACAUGAGAGAAUCUAGAGAUAAAGACAAUGUUGCUUCUUCAGAAAAAGGGAAAAGCGAUCGCAAAAACUGAAGGUGAAAAAAAAAAUAAGCUCACCCAGGAUCAGGAUCAUCUUCCAGAAACUUCAGGAACCGAUAUAAAAACAGAGGAAGAUUGUCUCCAGAAUUCUCCUAAGCCUCCACCAACAUCACCCAGCAGUUCCUCAAACAAGGUAUCACUUUCCUAUCCCCAAUGAUUGCCCCUUCCCAAAGACCAUGACUUGGCUCCCCACAAUCUUGGAUAACCUCCUCACUAAUCCCCUACUGCAAAGACUUUCCUCAUUUUGUUAAAUAACACAUUAAGUUAUCUUAUCAUGUAACACAGCCUCGGUUGGUACUGAAAAGGUAAGUAUUUAUGAAAAAAUUUCUGGUGUUGUUAACCAUCUCUCUGCUUUGGGUUCAGAAGUAAGUAUAGGGGACACCAGAGGGUAUUAACCUGCCAUUGCCUAGUUUCUUCUCAGCCUGUUUCCCUUUACUGGUGACCCAUUUUCUGAGGCUAUGUUCCUCAUUAUGUGUUCUACUCAGGAGGUAUUUUGACAUGUGAUAUUUCCCUGUUUGGGAAAUCUUGAUCACUGUCCACUACUGACCAAAUGUUCUAGAACUGUAAUAGUCACUUUUGCUGAGAGUCAGCCUCAAACAGGUUCGAGGUAUAUCGCAAACUCUCCCUGCCAUUCAUCAUUAAAGGAAACAGCUCCCUCUUAACCACCCAAAGAAUUCUUAAUAUAAUUACAAUGAUUAUAACAGUGGCAGUACUUCCCUUACUAAUGUACUAUUUAAUGUUUUCAUCAUUUAUCAGGUGUUUAUUUUGAGACCCUGGUUGCAAUUUAUACAAACCUCAUUUUGAUACAUGUUACAAUUCUAUUUAACAAUCUAUGUGAUCAAUGUUCAAUUCUUUUAUAUGAUAGAGUCCUGUGAUAUACCAUGGAAUAAAGUCCUUGGGCACAUCUAAUUAUCAGUGCUCAUAAAUGAUGACAGAAAUACAAUUAAAAAUGUAUAAAGUCCAAGAAAAUAGGCUACAGUUAAAGGCAGUUAUGGCUUUAGUGGCAUCAGCAACAUAGCAAUGGUUGCAUUUGAGAAAACUUGGACCUUGAAGUAGCAAAAGCACUCAAGGAAACAGUAAAUGUGCGAUUACAUUUCUAUGUAUUUAUUUGCCUACUAGCUUAAUUUCCUGUUUCAUAAACGGUUGGCAAACAUUCAAAUCUAUGAGUCCAUGGGAGAUAUUCUUAUUCAACCCACUGCACAAUACAGUUCAUCUGUUAAGAAUAAGGUAUAUGCACAAUGAAACAAAUACUAUUCAAAUUCAGUAAUAACUAUAAAGCUUCUUGCAGUUUAAAAUAUUGUGCAUUAUUUAACUUAAAAAAUGUCCCCAAGGGCUGAUGAUAAAGCUAUAAAAAUUCACACCUUCGUGUGUGCAAAGCUCAGGGUUCAAUUUCCAACACAUGAGAGAAUCAAGAGAUAAAGACAAUGUUGCUUCUUC
rnacentral:lncRNA from 1 species